GGUAGCUGAGCGCAGUUUUUGGCGAAUCUCAAAAAAACAGUCUCAGUUCGGAUUGAAGUCUGCAACUCGACUUCAUGAAGUUGGAAUCGCUAGUAAUCGCGAAUCAGCAUGUCGCGGUGAAUACGUUCUCGGGGUUUGUACACACCGCCCGUCAAACCACGAAAGUUGGCAAUACCCAAAGCCGGUGGCCUAACUUCGCAAGAAGAGGGAACCGUCUAAGGUAGGGUCGAUGAUUGGGGUUAAGUCGUAACAAGGUAUCCCUACCGGAAGGUGGGGAUGGAUCACCUCCUUUCUAAGGAAACAAUUAUCAUCUUCAGUUUUGAGAGACUUAAGAAAGUUUUUCAUUGUAACUUGCUUGCAAAUUGUAUUUGCAACAUUUUAAUCUUUUUAAGAUUAAGGGCCUAUAGCUCAGUUGGUUAGAGCACACGCCUGAUAAGCGUGAGGUCGGUGGUUCGAGUCCAUUUAGGCCCACCAAAACCACAAAU
rnacentral:misc_RNA from 1 species